GCUCAGUUGGUUAAGCUUCUGACUCCAGCUCAGGUCAUAGGUCGUGGGUUCGGAUCCCACACUGAGCC
rnacentral:tRNA from 1 species